UACCACAGACACUUAAAAUACCCAAAGACCUCUCCUUAAUCUCUCCGAACAAACCAAAUUAUAAUAAAUUUCUCUCUACCCGCAGAUUCUCUUUUUUCCGUUCUCUUAUGAGACGGAGAUGAUUUGUUUUCAGCCAAGCAGCACAAAAUCAGUAUGGAUUUUUCUUCCGCCUCCGCCUCCCCUCUCUGCCGCUCGCCGCCCCGCACUCGCAGUCGUAGAUGGCGUCAGAGUCGGACUUGUACCGCUGUUGUUGUCGUGGCUGCACUUGUGAUUACCACUACAGCCUGGCUGUCUCUUGUUUUCUCCGGCACUACUGCUCGGUGGUGUUGGCAUAGGCUUAAGAACUGGGAAGGAAGCCUGCACACGCUCCCGUGGAAACCACAAAGUCAGAAUCCAAAUGGGGUUGAGGAAGAAGAUAAGGAUUUGUCUCUUGAAGGAAUUGCUCCGUCUCUUCCAUUAGGAAGAAACAGGAGCCUAUCGGAGGAGGAGAGACGAAGAGAUGGAGCAGGGCUAGCGUUAAAUCAUAUAGUUUUCGGCAUUGCAGGGUCUUCUCAGCUGUGGAAGAGAAGGAAAGAGUUUAUAAGGCUAUGGUGGAGAAAGGACUCUUCAAUGCGGGGUCAUGUUUGGGUGGAAGAGCAAGUGGAUGAUAAAGAAUGGGAUGAGUCAUUGCCAAGGAUUAUGAUUUCGGAGGAUACUUCUCGGUUUCGGUACACGAAUCCGACCGGACAUCCUUCUGGGCUUCGGAUUGCGCGCAUUGUGUUGGAAACUUUUCGACUAGGUUUGUCUGAUGUUCGAUGGUUUGUUUUGGGAGAUGAUGAUACUAUUUUUAGUGUAGAUAAUUUGGUUGAUGUAUUGAGUAAGUAUGAUUGUAAUGAGAUGGUUUAUAUCGGCGGUCCUUCAGAGAGUCACUCUGCUAAUACUUAUUUUAGUCAUAAUAUGGCUUAUGGAGGUGGCGGGAUUGCUAUAAGUUAUCCUCUUGCCAAGGCGCUUUAUAGUGUUCUUGAUGAUUGUCUUGAGAGAUAUCAUAGGUUAUAUGGAAGUGAUGAUAGACUCCUCGCUUGUAUUUCCGAGCUUGGCGUUCCUUUAUCAAGAGAACAUGGGUUUCACCAGUGGGAUAUCAGGGGUAGCGCUCAUGGUCUUUUAUCUGCGCACCCGAUUUCACCCUUUGUGUCAAUUCAUCAUGUAGAGGUCGUGGAGCCUAUUUACCCUGGGAUGAGCUCUUUGGAGAGUUUGAAAUUGUUCACUAAGGCCAUGAAGGUUGAUCUUAUGAGCUUCUUGCAGCGAUCAAUCUGUUAUGACCAUGCACGCCGCCUAACUUUUUCUGUCUCGCUUGGUUAUGCUAUUCAAGUGUUCCCAAGCAUCGUGCUACCCCGGGUCCUUGAGCGCUCAGAAAUGACUUUCUCUGCUUGGAACAAGAUUCAUAAUCUGAAUGAGUUUGAUUUGGAUACUAGGGAUCCCUCCAAAUCUGUUUGUAAGAGUCCAGUCCUCUUCUUCUUAGAAGAUGUGGAAAGACAAGGCAACACUACUCUGGGUACAUAUGUGCGGGCGGGGAGAUUGAAAGAUGAUUUGAAAAGAAAAGUUCUCUGCUUUCCUCGUUCGGCUCCUCUUCCUUAUGUGGGGCGUAUUCAGGCUUUGGGGUAUCCUCUAAAGAACUGGCAUUUGUCACCACGUCGCCUGUGUUGCAAACUGAAUCAAACAAGUGAUGAACUCCUUACAAUAUCAGUUAGACAGUGUGGGAAGGGAUCUUUUGGUUCUUUUGCUGAUUCCGUGUGAAUAUGAAUGGUAGCACUUCGUCUACUCGAUAUCAUUGCUGGGGGGAUUAUUUUAUGCUUGAAGAAGGCCCUUUUCCCAGCCUGUGCUUUAUAUUGUACAGCAUCAUUGUUUGGCUCCUUCUUGCAACAGUGGUUUACCGAAUGGCAUCUGGCAUUUUGAAAACCAUGCUAACAAAUUGAGUUUAAGAUGAGAUCACAGACCUUCACUUCAUGGACUACAUUCUGUGCCUUCCUUUUUCUUCGGAAGAUUGCAUAACUAGCAAAUCAGGUGGGAUUUGUGGCCGAGAACCUCUCUCAGGAACUGGGAGGUUAGCUGCAUUUGAAGUUGCAAGUUGAGUGUGAACUAGUGCAUGCACUGUGCAUCCAUUUCACUAGUGACUAAAGCCAGGGGUUUAAAGUGGCUUUUGAAGGGCCAGAAACAGUUUGAUGGCACAGCAAAGCAUUAAGUGCCAGAAGUGCAACUUGUUCAUUCUGAUGGGUGCAAGUCCUUUUAGUUCUAGUGGGAGCUGUCGCCUUGAUAAAGUGGACAAUUAACGAUGCUUUAGGAGUCGUUAAUAGAUCACUUCAAGUGAUGGUGACCCUUUUUUGACUUGAUGGGAUUUUGCUUGGGAACCUAAAUUUUAUCCUUAUUGUUUUCUUUUUCA